UUUAGAUGAGACUGUUCGUGCCUUGCUGAGUGAGUAACUGGAAAAAAUGGAGGAGCGCAAGGCAGGCUACGAACGCGGCUUGGAUAGGCGUGACCCAGGCGGAUCGCGUCCAUACCAAAAGGCCGAUUGAACUUGGGUCUACCCUUAUUAGUUCUUAGAUUGGGAUCCACCGAUCUACCGUGGAGUACAAGAUCCCAAAUCGAACUCAAGGAUUUGCAGUAAUUUGUACCUUUAGUCUAUAUUCUUGUAAUCCUCUUCUAAGACAACCUCUGUGCGUCGGAUAGUUAUAUUUCAUCAAAAAUAGCACAAUUCAGUGAGGUUUCACACCAGGCCAAAACCUCCGUUUCUAUGCUGCUGCUUAUAAAACGCGCGAAUUAUGUAUAUUCUAUAUUAUACAACACCUGAAUAAAUCCCCGUCAUCUGAUGGGUGGAUCGUUGAUCACAUGUCAUUGAAUUAUUCGUACCAAUAUUGACAUUGACUUUGGAGAUACAUCGAGUCAUAAUUAUUGCAACGACGUUGAUUUAAUUAAAGAAUACGUAUUCUAUGAGACGUAAUAUGUCA